AUAAAAGAAUAUAAUUGAGUUGUUUGUAACACAACGAAUGAAUAAAUGUUUGAGGUGUUGGAUACCCCAUUUACCCUCAUGUACUAUUACACGUUGUAUGCCUGUAUCAAUGUAUCUCAUGUGCUUUCUAAAUAAAUAUACCUACUAUGUACCCACAAAUAUUAAAAAUUAAAAAAAUAUAUUAUUUUAUGACUUAAUAUUAAGAGACAAAUUCUUACUUUUAAGAGGACUAAAAAUCAGAAGGUUUUCAAUCACCAAGUACAAACCAAAUAAAAAAUAUAGUUACAAGCACUGGGGCAGCACUGGCUUAAUUUAUUAGCUUGAAUGGCUGUUUGUCAACCUUAGUGUUCUGCGUUAGAGAAAAUGUGCCAAUCAUCACAGAUGUCUUUACAAUGAAUAUGAGUUCACCACUUUUAGUGAUUAGAUUUUAGAGAGUAACAUCCAAAACAGUGAGCUCCUCCUCUAACAGCAGAGGCAGUGCUUGAUUAAUUAUCACCUUGUGUGAUAAAUGUAAUAGAGACACUUGCAAAGUAUUAUAAAAUCUCUUUGUCCAGAAA
rnacentral:lncRNA from 1 species